rnacentral:rRNA from 1 species
UAGGGAAUCUUCCGCAAUGGACGCAAGUCUGACGGAGCAACGCCGCGUGAGUGAAGAAGGAUUUCGGUUCGUAAAACUCUGUUGUUAGAGAAGAACAGCGCAUAGAGUAACUGUUAUGCGUGUGACGGUAUCUAACCAGAAAGCCACGGCUAACUACGUGCCAGCAGCCGCGGUAAUACGUAGGUGGCAAGCGUUGUCCGGAUUUAUUGGGCGUAAAGCGAGCGCAGGCGGUCAAUUAAGUCUGAUGUGAAAGCCCCCGGCUCAACCGGGGAGGGUCAUUGGAAACUGGUUGACUUGAGCGCAGAAGAGGAGAGUGGAAUUCCAUGUGGAGCGGUGAAAUGCGUAGAUAUAUGGAGGAACACCAGUGGCGAAGGCGACUCUCUGGUCUGUAACUGACGCUGAGGCUCGAAAGCGUGGGUAGCAAACAGG